GCCUGGGUGGCUCAGUCAGUUGAGCAUCCGACUUCAACUCAGGUCAUGGUCUCACGGCUCAUGGGUUUGAGCCCCAUGUCAGGCU
rnacentral:tRNA from 1 species